GUGUCAGCCGCCGCGGUAAUACGUAGGUGGCAAGCGUUGUCCGGAUUUAUUGGGCGUAAAGGGUGCGCAGGCGGUUUCUUAAGUGUGAUGUGAAAUCCCACGGCUUAACUGUGGAGGUGCAUUGGAAACUGGGUGACUUGAGUGCAGGAGAGGAAAGCAGAAUUCCUAGUGUAGCGGUGAAAUGCGUAGAGAUUUGGAGGAAUACCAGUGGCGAAGGCGGCUUUCUGGACUGCAACUGACGCUGAGGCGUGAAAGCAUGGGGAGCAAACAGGAGUAGAUACCCUGGUAGUCCAUGCCGUAAACGAUGAGUGCUAAGUGUUAGAGGGUUUCCGCCCCUUAGUGCUGCAGCUAACACAUUAAGCACUCCGCCUGGGGAGUACGACCGCAAGGUUAAAACUUAAAGGAAUUGACGG
rnacentral:rRNA from 1 species